UGCUCCGCCUCCACUUAGCUUGAGACCGCUUUAUUCCUCGCUCAGGGAGGAGGAGGAGAAGGCGAAGGCGAAGCAAAGCAAAACCUCGGAAGAGCGGCAGAGCCCACUCCACACGCGGAGAGGAGACCACGCCGCCGCCGGAAGCCAUGGCCGCCGCCACCGCCGCCGCCUUCGCGGAGCCCAAGACCAAGUACGAUCGCCAGCUCAGGAUAUGGGGUGAUCAAGGACAGGCUGCACUGGAGAAGGCUAGCAUAUGCUUGCUUACCUGUGGCCCUACAGGAACUGAAGCGAUGAAGAACCUUGUGCUUGGAGGAGUAGGGAGUGUUACUGUUGUUGAUGGUUCCAAAGUUGAACAAUCUGACAUGGGAAACAAUUUCCUGUUGGAUGCAGAAUGCUUGGGGCAAUCAAGAGCAAAAUCUGUAUGUUCGUUCCUGCAAGAGCUGAAUGAUGCUGUAAAUGCCAAGUUUGUCGAGGAGUCUCCUCUGGCUCUCAUAGACACAAACCCUUCAUUCUUUUCCCAAUUUACCGUAGUCAUUGCUACUCAGCUUCCAGAGAGAUCUUUACUGAAACUAGAUGAUAUCUGCAGGAAAGCAAAUAUUGUGUUGGUUGCUGCACGUUCAUAUGGUCUAACUGGUCUAGUCAGGAUCAGCGUUAAGGAGCACAAUGUUAUAGAAUCAAAACCGGACCACUUCCUGGAUGAUUUACGCCUUCACAAUCCAUGGGUUGAACUCAAGCAAUUUGCAAAGUCAAUUGAUAUAAAUGAUAAAGAUCCUGUUGUGCACAAGCACACUCCCUACAUUGUUAUCCUUGUGAGGCUUGCAGAAAAAUGGGCAGAUGCACAUGAUGGGCGCUUACCUUCGACUAGGCAAGAGAAAAAUGAAUUCAAGGCACUGAUUCGAGAAUAUAUGCUUAAUUUAGAUGAAGAAAACUACAAAGAAGCAGUGGAGUCCUCGUAUAAAGUCUCUGUUACUCCAGGGAUCAGUGAUGAGAUCCGUCAGAUAAUUGAUGAUAGCUCCGCUGAAGUGAAUUCAUCUUCUUCAGAUUUCUGGGUUUUAGUGGCUGCUUUGAAGGAAUUUAUUGCAAAUGAGGGCAACGGUGAGCUACCUCUUGAGGGGACGAUACCUGAUAUGACUUCACUUACUGAGUACUAUGUUAGCCUGCAAAAGAUUUACCAAGCUAAGGCUGAAUCUGACUGCCUUGCCUUGGAGCAUCAUGUAAAGGAUAUCUUGAAGCGAAUUGAUAGAGACCCUGAUUCUAUUUCACGGGCAUACAUAAAAACAUUUUGCAAAAAUGCUAGAAAACUCAGAGUCUGUAGGUACCGCAGUAUGGAGGAAGAGUUUAGCUCUCCUGUUCUUUCUGAAGUUCAAAUAUACUUCACCGAUGAAGACUACUGGAUUACAAGAUGCCUUGAUUGAACCUAUUGAAGACUUUUUCUGCUUCGAAUUGUGGUUUCAUCGUCUUGUUGCAAACACAAGUUUUCUUUCAAACCAAUAGUUGGUCACACUGUAGCAUGCAGUGCAACUUUGGAGUAGGUGGAGAAGUCAGCUAUUGUUUCUUCCUUUGCUUUCUUUGCAAUGAACUUCUAUGUUCUGCUACGUGCUGUUGAUCGACUUGCAGCCAACUAUAACAGAUGCCCUGGAAUCUUUGAAAGUGAGAUUGAUGAGGAUGUGCCUAGGCUGAAGACAGCUGCUGUUUCAGUAAUGAGUGAGAUGGGUAUGAACGGGGCACCUUUGUCUGAAGACCUGAUUACUGAAAUGUGCCGGUUUGGGGGUGCAGAGAUUCAUCCCGUGGCUGCCUUCAUUGGCGGAGUAGCAUCCCAAGAAGUAAUUAAGCUGGUCACCAAACAGUUUGUGCCUUUGCUGGGAACAUUUAUAUUCAACGGGAUUGAUCACAAAUCUCAAGUUUUGGCGUUAUAACAUCAAUCUGGUAUAGAGCUUUUCGGAACCUCACCCAAUUAAUUACAUUAGAGUUGCCCCAGAUUUUGUAUUAUGGCCUUCCGGUGCAAUGAAAAUCACUUGUCCAUAUAAAUGAUCAUUGUCAGAUUUGGAAUUAUCAUCGUAUUUACAUGGGAAAAGGUCAAAAUACCCCUUGAAACAGUAUGAAUUUUGUGA